rfam:Daphnia pulex DAPPTscaffold_272_Cont8135, whole genome shotgun sequence.
GGUCCUAUGGCUUAGAUGGCAAAGCGCCUGCUUAGUAAGCAGGAGAUCGCGAGAUCGAGUCUCGUUGGGACCU